rnacentral:rRNA from 1 species
GAUCAUGGCUCAGAUUGAACGCUGGCGGCAUGCCUUACACAUGCAAGUCAAACGGGCUCAGCUCUUUCGGGAGUUUGAGUUAGUGGCGGACGGGUGAGUAACGCGUAAGAAUCUACCUUUAGGAGGGGGACAACAGUUGGAAACGACUGCUAAUUCCCCAUAUGCUGAGGAGUGAAAUGGUGAAUAACCGCCUAAAGAUGAGCUUGCGUCUGAUUAGCUAGUUGGUAAGGCAAUGGCUUACCAAGGCGAUGAUCAGUAGCUGGUCUGAGAGGAUGAUCAGCCACACUGGGACUGAGACACGGCCCAGACUCCUACGGGAGGCAGCAGUGGGGAAUUUUGGACAAUGGGCGCAAGCCUGAUCCAGCAAUGCCGCGUGCAGGAAGAAGGCCUUCGGGUUGUAAACUGCUUUUGUACGGAACGAAAAGGUCUGGGUUAAUACCCUGGGCUCAUGACGGUACCGUAAGAAUAAGCACCGGCUAACUACGUA